AUUGAAUACCCCCGCUAAAAGACAUAUGUUAAACAGAGAGCUCAAGUCCCUAAACGCGGAUAUCGUAUGUCUCCAGGAGACACAUUUUAGACAUAUGGAUCACCCCACUAUCCAAGCGAUACAAUUUCCACACCAAUACCACGCCACGUCACGUACUAAAUCUAGAGGCCCCUCUAUCCUCUUAAGCAAACACAUAAAAUUUGAACCACAACACCAUGAAAC